ensembl:lncRNA
AAGACAGCAGCGUCUCACGACUCCGAGCGGAGGAAUAUCAACAGCGCGUGUUGCGCGUUUGUUUUCAGCGCUUUUUUAAACCACCGAGUCGUAAACACGCCAAACUUUAGCGACCGCGAAGGAGAUACAUUCACUUCUUUUGAUUCUCUCAUACUUGGACUCAGUUCUCCCAAACAAACGGACAUCAACUGAAAGUUUCCCCUCAGGGAUGAGAACUGGUAUGGCUGUUGCUCAUAGUGCAGCAGGAGUACUCUGAAACAAAGGCGAAAGCGGUGAGUAAAAGCAAUCUUUAAAGUGCUAAUUUGCAUGUUCGUUCUGUCUGUCUCGGCCAUAAUUGAUAUGUCCUCUCAAAAAUCACUUCCAUUAUAUAUUCCAUCAACCACAUCCUGAGAGGAGCGUUAAUAAUGAGGAGUCCGGGGACCUCUUAAAGAUUCUUCAUGCAUUAUGACAGUCGAGAGAGUCCACUUAGUUUCUGACGGCCUUGACGUUUGUGGGGUUUCACCUUAAAGGCAGUUGAAGUCAAGAUAAAUGUAUUGUGGUGCAUAACCCAGCAGGUAAAGGUUUAAAGCAUGUUAUCCAGCUCCAUCCGGCCCUCCGUUGUGGCCCUGAUGAUUGUUUUGUCACCAAGUAAGUAAAAGAUACGCAUAAGGAAUGGAGGUUGUGGUUACCGUCAUUAGCGAUGUAGACAUUGCCAGACGGGUGGCUACAGUUGCGAAGGGUAAAUGAGAGAAACCUGCACCUAUUCAAGGCAGUUCAUGCAGAGGGCAUAUUUGAUCAUUUGAGUAAGAGAGUUGUUGACUUUUUAAGGGUCCUGGUAUUAGUUACUGUAGGUACUCAGUUGUUAUUAUAAUGUUUGUUCUGAAGGGAUAAAAAAAUUGAAUCAAAAAUGAAAAAGUGUGGAACACGAUAGGAAAAAUGUUGAAGAAUGUACUGGCCAAUCUUCAACAUAUAAUGAAUUGGGGGGGAAGCACUAUAAAAAUAUUAUAAACGUAGUGCCAUGAAAAUUACUCAGUAACUUUUUGCAACAAACAGAUCAACAUUACAUUACAACAGUCAUUAUCUAUUAAAAUAUGGUGCAUUUAGAUGCAACAUGUAAAGUUUGAUCACAAAGAAGUUUGUUUAAAUAUGUAGAAGUGCGAAUGAAAUACAUUUCUUGAAUGGUCC